GUCUCGUUGGUGUAGUGGUAUCAUGCCCUCUUUGGGUGACUUUCUUGUCAGCUAAGUGGGGGUGGGCCUGGGUUCGACCCCCAGACGGGACC